rnacentral:rRNA from 1 species
UACGGGGGGGGCAAGCGUUGUUCGGAUUCAUUGGGCGUAAAGCGCACGUAGGCGGCUUUCUAAGUCGGGGGUGAAAUCCUGGAGCUCAACUCCAGAACUGCCUUCGAUACUGGAAAGCUCGAGUCCGGGAGAGGUGAGUGGAACUGCGAGUGUAGAGGUGAAAUUCGUAGAUAUUCGCAAGAACACCAGUGGCGAAGGCGGCUCACUGGCCCGGUACUGACGCUGAGGUGCGAAAGCGUGGGGAGCAAACAGG